rnacentral:tRNA from 1 species
ACUUAAAUAGUUUAUUAAAAAUAUUAAUUUGUGGAGUUAGUGAAAUGAUACUUAAUUCAUUUUAAGUU